rnacentral:rRNA from 1 species
GACGAACGCUGGCGGCGUGCCUAAUACAUGCCAGUCGAACGCUGAAGGAGGAGCUUGCUUCUCCGGAUGAGUUGCGAACGGGUGAGUAACGCGUAGGUAACCUGCCUGGUAGCGGGGGAUAACUAUUGGAAACGAUAGCUAAUACCGCAUAACAGUAGAUGUUGCAUGACAUUUGCUUAAAAGGUGCAAUUGCAUCACUACCAGAUGGACCUGCGUUGUAUUAGCUAGUUGGUGAGGUAACGGCUCACCAAGGCGACGAUACAUAGCCGACCUGAGAGGGUGAUCGGCCACACUGGGACUGAGACACGGCCCAGACUCCUACGGGAGGCAGCAGUAGGGAAUCGUCGGCAAUGGACGGAAGUCUGACCGAGCAACGCCGCGUGAGUGAAGAAGGGUUUCGGAUCGUAAAGCUCUGUUGUAAGAGAAGAGCGAGUGUGAGAGUGGAAAGUUCACACUGUGACGGUAGCUUACCAGAAAGGGACGGCUAACUACGUG